rnacentral:rRNA from 1 species
UGGGGAAUUUUGGACAAUGGGCGAAAGCCUGAUCCAGCAAUGCCGCGUGUGUGAAGAAGGCCUUCGGGUUGUAAAGCACUUUUGUCCGGAAAGAAAUCCUUGGCUCUAAUACAGUCGGGGGAUGACGGUACCGGAAGAAUAAGCACCGGCUAACUACGCGCCAGCAGCCGCGGUAAUACGUAGGGUGCAAGCGUUAAUCGGAAUUACUGGGCGUAAAGCGUGCGCAGGCGGUUUGCUAAGACCGAUGUGAAAUCCCCGGGCUCAACCUGGGAACUGCAUUGGUGACUGGCAGGCUAGAGUAUGGCAGAGGGGGGUAGAAUUCCACGUGUAGCAGUGAAAUGCGUAGAGAUGUGGAGGAAUACCGAUGGCGAAGGCAGCCCCCUGGGCCAAUACUGACGCUCAUGCACGAAAGCGUGGGGAGCAAACAGGAUUAGAUACCCUGGUAGUCCACGCCCUAAACGAUGUCAACUAGUUGUUGGGGACUUCAUUUCCUUAGUAACGUAGCUAACGCGUGAAGUUGACCGCCUGGGGGAGUACGGUCGCAAGAUUAAAACUUAAAUGAAUUGACGGGGUCAUAGCUGUUUCCU